rnacentral:lncRNA from 1 species
CCUGGCUUCGCCGCCAGCUCCCGAGGUUUCAGAGCCGUCCCGGGCGUGCCACCGAGAUGCCAAGCCGCCUGCCGUCCUAGAGGGGGCGCAGACUCGGGGCGCGGGCCCCGGGCCAGGGCCUCUUCCGGCUUCGCGCGCCGAGCCCUGGAAUCUAGUUGCUGCCCCCGAGACCCAGGCAGCCCGAGCCCGGCGGCCACAUCCCGCCCAGAGCAUGGCUGGCCUGUCUGCGGUGCCGAGGGAGACCUGGCCCCUUCACUGGAGCUUGGCAGGGCCCGGCUACCUCCCGCUGGCGUUCUAGCACCUUCCGAGCCCCGGAGCAGGACCUGACGGAGCUGCCUGGGGAGACCGGGGCGCGGGUGCGGAACGACCUGGAAGGAGACCGCAGUCCUUUUCGGGUGGAGCCGGGGAAACUGAGCUGCAGAUCUCCAGGUCAAGGAGUAAGUAGAGAGGGUGGGAGCAGGUCCACAGGCAUGGAAGGAGAACCCAGAGCUUCCCGGACACGGCCAGCCUGCUCUAGAUUCCCCCCGGCCCCUCAGACGACGCCGCUGGUGGGAGAGCGCGCGGCUCCCCGGGGUCACUGGCCCCGCCUGCCGCGUCCCGCCGAGCGACCCCAGCCGACGCUCGGAGACGGAUAAGCGCCGAAGGAAGCUCCACGCCCUUCACUGGGCUGCAUCUUCCAGGAAGCUCUGCGCCCCGCUGGGAGCUGCUAAAGACUUGGGCGAGGGCGAGUCCCAAGAGGCUGGAGACGAUUCUCCCAGGCCGAGCUCCAGCUGCUAGGCCGCGGCCCCCUCGGCCCUCCACCCACUCUGGAGCGGAAAGAGCCGGCCUCGGAAGGAAGAUUCCAUCCUAGCGCAUCCCUUCCGGCGGAGCGAGCUCUCCACUCGCGGUUGGGUCAGCCGCCGUCUCCGCCCACCAGGCCAGCCUUAGCUUCCUUCCCUUUCUUGCCCAUCAGGGGCCAGAGGAGCAGAGAAGCUAAAGCUAAAUCUAGAGAGCGGCACAGCACCAGUUUUGGCGCAGACCCCAGCCGGGUGGCAUGGGUUUUGACGGGCAUGGCGUCGCUGCCAGAAGACCAG